UACGAAGGGGGGCUAGCGUUGCUCGGAAUCACUGGGCGUAAAGGGUGCGUAGGCGGGUCUUUAAGUCAGGGGUGAAAUCCUGGAGCUCAACUCCAGAACUGCCUUUGAUACUGAGGAUCUUGAGUACGGGAGAGGUGAGUGGAACUGCGAGUGUAGAGGUGAAAUUCGUAGAUAUUCGCAAGAACACCAGUGGCGAAGGCGGCUCACUGGCCCGUUACUCGACGCUGAGGCACGAAAGCGUGGGGAGCAAACAGGG
rnacentral:rRNA from 1 species